rnacentral:lncRNA from 1 species
ACACACUUGUGAGCAUAAUAUCGUUAUCAGAUACUUCUCUUAAUACCAAGGUUUUACUUUCUCGACUAUACUCCAUCCUCUAGAAGUCUCUGUAUGUGGAUGAUCAUCAACUACACGUCCCUAUCUUAGCCUCAAUGAAAUCCUUAUGACUCCAUACUAUUCUUAUCUGAAGUGUAUUCCACUACAGUACUUGUAAUACAAGGUUUACACUGCUCCCAAACUCUAUAUAUUCUUCUUUUUUAAGAUAAUUCUCUCAACUCCAAUUACAUAACCAUU